AACGAACGCUGGCGGCAGGCUUAACACAUGCAAGUCGAACGCGUGUAGCAAUACACGAGUGGCGCACGGGUGAGUAACGCGUGGAUAUCUGCCUUUUGGUUCGGAAUAACCCCGGGAAACUGGGGCUAAUACCGGAUGGUUCCUUCGGGAUAAAGAUUUAUCGCCAAAAGAUGAGUCCGCGUACGAUUAGCUAGUUGGUGAGGUAAUGGCUCACCAAGGCGACGAUCGUUAGCUGGUCUGAGAGGACGAUCAGCCACACUGGGACUGAGACACGGCCCAGACUCCUACGGGAGGCAGCAGUGGGGAAUAUUGGACAAUGGGGGCAACCCUGAUCCAGCCAUGCCGCGUGAGUGAUGAAGGCCUUCGGGUUGUAAAGCUCUUUUGGCGGGGACGAUGAUGACGGUACCCGCAGAAUAAGCCCCGGCUAACUUCGUGCCAGCAGCCGCGGUAAGACGAAGGGGGCUAGCGUUGUUCGGAAUUACUGGGCGUAAAGCGCGUGUAGGCGGUUUUCCAAGUUGGGUGUGAAAGCCUUGGGCUUAACCCAAGAAAUGCACUCAGUACUGGAAGACUAGAGGACCGGAGAGGAUAGUGGAAUUCCCAGUGUAGUGG
rnacentral:rRNA from 1 species